UACGUAGGCAGCAAGCGUUGUUCGGAAUUACUGGGCGUAAAGAGUGUGUAGGCGGUGCUCUAAGUUCGGUGUGAAAUCUCCCGGCUCAACUGGGAGGGUGCGCCGGAAACUGGGGUGCUGGAGCGCGGGAGAGGAAAGCGGAAGUUCCUGGUGUAGCGGUGAAAUGCGUAGAUAUCAGGAGGAACACCGGCGGUGUAGACGGCUUUCUGGACCGUAGCUGACGCUGAGACACGAAAGCGUGGGUAGCAAACAGGAUUAGAUACCCGUGGUAGCUCCGACGAACCAAGUCUCGUGACCUGACCGAUA
rnacentral:rRNA from 1 species